rnacentral:lncRNA from 10 species
GUGGGCGCCAAGGCCGAGGAGGCGCCCAGAGCGAGCGAGGGCUGUGAGGGCUGCCAGCAUGCUGUCACCUCUCAGAAAAACGGUUAUAUACUGAAACUGUAGGAACAGCAAAGAGAUUAAAGAUCAAGUAAAGAGCAACAAAGGACAUCGUCCAUGAAGUGCUUUCACGUCAUUGAAAGAAUCUGUCAUCUAUUUCUCAUUGUUGCUGAGUACUCAUCUGUAGUGUGAAUAUUCCACAGUUUGCUCCCCUGGAUGGACACUGGGUCAUUUCCAGCUUGGGUUAAGAAUAAAGUCAGCUGGGUGCGGUGGCUCACACCUGUAAUCCCAGCACUUUGGGAGGCUGAGGCAGGCAGAUCACCCGCAGUCAGGAGUUCGAGACCAGCCUGGCCAACGCAGUGAAACCCCGUCUCUACUAAAAAUACAAAAAUUAGCCGGGCGUGGUGAUGGGCGCCUGUAGCCUCAGCUACUGGGGAGGCUGAGGCAGAAGAAUCGUUCGAACCCGGGAGGCUGAGGUUGCAGUGACCUGAGAUCAUGCCAUUGCACUCCAGCCUUGGUGACAGAGUGAGACUCCAUCUCAAAAAAAAAAAAAAAAAAAAGUCUGUAUGAACUUUUUUACAUAAGUCUAGUAUGUGUUGCUAUGGCUUGAAUUCUCCUAUAAUUCACAUGGGGAAGAACUGAUCCUCAGUAUCUCGGGAUGUGACUGUAUUUGAAGAUAAUGUCUUUAAUCAAGUAAGGUUAAAUUGUUACAGGUAGUUAGGCGUGAGCGGGCAGGAGAGGGCUCUCCCCGCCACCCACUAGAAGUCUUGAGUGAUGGUUCAGUAAUUGUUGCAUUGCCUCUCUAAAAGUGAUACAUUGGCAGCCGGUGCUAGGGAGAGGCCAUUCAGUGAUGGUCCACACCUGUUAACGUUAAAAACUGUUAAUUAGAGGCAGACCUCAUGGAGAAGAAAUUUCCUGGGCGUGCACAUUAACAGACAAAAAUAGCGGAGUGUGAUCUUCGGCGUAUCCUCUACCUGAAAAAGGAAGAAAGCCUCAGAUAAGCAUGCGUACAAUUUACUGAACACACUACAUGAGCUCACUUCCCAAGGGCCUUUUAAGUAAACUUCCACUCCUGCUCUAAAAUGUGCCUAGGUCUCUUGUUCUGCUUUAUGCCCCUCAGUCUAGUUGUUUCUUCUGAGGAGGCAAGAUUUAAAGUUGCGGCCGACCUGUGCGGAUUUGCUACUGGUAACUCCUGGUAACUCCGGUCUCUUCCACCACUAACAAAAUGAGGUCCUUGAGGUGGGCUCUAAUUCAGUAUGACCGGUAUCCUUACAAAGAGGAGAUGAGGACCUAGGCACACUCAGAGGAAAGAUCGCUUGAAGACACAAGGAGAAGAUGACACUGUACAAGCUAAGGAAAGAGGCCUCAGAAGAAACCAACCCUGCUGACACCUGGGUCCUGGACUUCUAUCCCACAGAACUGCAGAGGGGUUCUCUCCCCUUGGCUACCAUAGCUGGGAAUAUUCUGGGUCACACAUGAAGCCAGCAUGGCUCUGAAUCUUACCCAAGGGACACAGUGAGUACUGCCUGGCUACCAUGGCUGAUUAUUCAAGGCAGGUGAUGAUUCUGUCAGGACUGGAUCUUUCCCUAAAAAGCAAUGGGUUCCUUUCUGGCCCAGGGUACAUUUGGAGAUGUUGAACAGGAACUAGG